rnacentral:tRNA from 1 species
GGGGCUAUAGCUCAGCUGGGAGAGCGCCUGUUUUGCACACAGGAGGUCAGCGGUUCAAACCCGCUUAGCUCCA